ACACGACUCUCGGCAAUGGAUAUCUCGGCUCUCGCAUCGAUGAAGAGCGCAGCGAAAUGCGAUACGUGGUGCGAAUUGCAGAAUCCCGCGAACCAUCGAGUCUUUGAACGCAAGUUGCGCCCGAGGCCAUCCGGCCAAGGGCACGUCCGCCUGGGCGUCAAGC
rnacentral:rRNA from 2 species